rnacentral:tRNA from 1 species
GCCGGAGUGGCGGAAUGGCAGACGCGACGGACUCAAAAUCCGUUGUUCCUUGUGAACAUGAGGGUUCAAGUCCCUCCUCCGGUACCA